UCCGUGCCAGCAGCCGCGGUAAUACGGAGGGUGCGAGCGUUAAUCGGAAUUACUGGGCGUAAAGCGUGCGUAGGCGGUUGAUUAAGCGAGAUGUGAAAUCCCGGGGCUUAACCUCGGAACUGCAUUUCGAACUGGUCGACUAGAGUUUUGUAGAGGGUGGUGGAAUUUCCAGUGUAGCGGUGAAAUGCGUAGAGAUUGGAAGGAACAUCAGUGGCGAAGGCGGCCACCUGGACAAAAACUGACGCUGAGGCACGAAAGCGUGGGUAGCAAACAGGAUUAGAUACCCUGGUAGUCCACGCCGUAAACGAUGUCAACUAGCUGUCUGUGUUUUAAACGUGGGUAGCGUAGCUAACGCGCUAAGUUGACCGCCUGGGGAGUACGGCCGCAAGGUUAAAACUCAAAUGAAUUGACGGGGGCCCGCACAAGCGGUGGAGCAUGUGGUUUAAUUCGAUGCAACGCGAAGAACCUUACCAUCCCUUGACAUCCAGAGAAUUUUCUAGAGAUAGAUUAGUGCCUUCGGGAACUCUGAGACAGGUGCUGCAUGGCUGUCGUCAGCUCGUGUUGUGAAAUGUUGGGUUAAGUCCCGCAACGAGCGCAACCCUUAUCCUUACUUGCCAGCGGGUAAUGCCGGGAACUUUAAGGAGACUGCCGGUGAUAAACCGGAGGAAGGUGGGGACGACGUCAAGUCAUCAUGGCCCUUACGGGAUGGGCUACACACGUGCUACAAUGGCGUAUACAGAGUGCAGCGAGACCGCGAGGUGGAGCGAAUCACACAAAGUACGUCGUAGUCCGGAUUGGAGUCUGCAACUCGACUCCAUGAAGUCGGAAUCGCUAGUAAUCGUAGAUCAGAAUGCUACGGUGAAUACGUUCCCGGGCCUUGUACACACCGCCCGUCACACCAUGGGAGUGGGUUGCAAAAGAAGUGGCUAGU
rnacentral:rRNA from 1 species